CGUUUAGGGGUAAACCUGAGAAACCCGAAAGGUCGAAGGGAGAAAUUCAUUCGCGUUUCGACGUCGACGAUAAGCGGAUUCGAGUGACGAAAGGCUUCGGCUAUUUCGCGCCGUUCGUUUAUCGAAUCGACGACGAACGCGUGCACUUUUCUCCCGGUAGGACGUCGCGAUCCGUUGGGUGUCGGUCUACGGCUUACGGUGGAGCCCGUUCGUCGACUUUAAACGUCGUACAAGCGGACCCGUAAGUUUCCCGGCCGACUCGCUCGACGGUAUACGAACGGUAAGAGGAGCCGCUCAUUUAGGAGCGUUCGACUCGCGGCAAGCGCGUUAGAUGUACGUCGGCAAUCGGACCUAGUGCCGAUUCCGACCUCUGAUGACUGUUGGCCGUGAAGUUCUCGAACAGACUUCUCUCUCUCUCGCAAGAGGGGGUUUAUUAAACCGAUCUGCGGCGCUAUAGCUUUGGGUACUUUCAGGACCCGUCUUGAAACACGGACCAAGGAGUCUAGCAUGUACGCGAGUCAUUGGGAUUUAUACUAAACCUAAAGGCGUAAUGAAAGUGAAGGUCUGCCUUGUGCAGAUCGAGGGAAGACGUGCGGUUUACCAUUAAAAGUAGCCGUUCAGCACUCCCGGGGCGUCUCAUUCUCAUUGUGAGUCGAGGCGCACCAAGAGCGUACACGCUGGGACCCGAAAGAUGGUGAACUAUGCCUGGUMGGNAAAA
rnacentral:rRNA from 1 species